GACGUAGGUGGCGAACGUUAUCCGGAAUUAUUGGGCGUAAAGGGUGCGUAGCUGGUCUAGAAAGUUAGUAGUGGGAAAUCGAGGCCCAACCUCGUGGAAACUAUUGAUACUGUUAGACUAGAGAACAGGAGGGGUUAACGGAAUGGUAUGUGGAGGGGUAAAAUCCAACGAUAUAUAUUGGAACACCAAUAAAGGCGAAGGCAGUUAACUAUUCUGCUUCUGACAUUGAGGCACGAAAGCGUGGGGAGCAAAACGG
rnacentral:rRNA from 1 species